rnacentral:lncRNA from 1 species
CUCUACCUCUUCAUCUAACUAGAUUGCUUCUUUUUCUGCUCUCCUGCUUCAGUAAUCACAAGGGACUGGAGGCCAGAGUCCCUGAAGUCAGCAGUGUUUCCACAUGAAUAGGAGAAGGCGUCUGGAUGCUCACAGCAAACCCUGUCCUUCAGUCUGCUGAGCAGGUGUUUUCCUGGCCUCCAUCCUGGGCAACACCACUGCUUCCUGAAGGAGCCCUGGCAGAUGGAAUAGCUGAGCAGCAGGCACAGCGUCUGACCCAGCCACCCUGACUGCACCGUUAGGAGACUUGAAGGGAAGAACGAUUUGCCUGUUUGUAGAGCUGAAGAUUGAGUCUGAAGUCUGUGACCUACCCUGGCUUCCUAGGAGAUGAGUUUAGGUUUGGCCUGACAUGUUCUAAGCCCUACUUUGAUGAAUAUUUUACCACAUUUCAUCAAGUCAAAAAAUAAAUAAGAUUUCCCAAGAAGGCAAGUGAGAACCAGUCUCCACAGGAUACACUUCACCCCUGCCUGCCUCGUCUUUUAGUUUCAUCACCAACCUCCCAAGAAAGGCUGGGUAGCCUAUCACAAAUACUUUCCACUUCCAGGACCGCAGUGCUAACCGACAUCUGCUGCACAACAGAGCUGAUGCCUCUGGGGCUGCUCCAAGCAAGAACACUGAGUUGUACGACCUUAUUGUGACAGACCUUUCUCGGAGGCUGCAUCCAGCAGGCUUCAUCCCCAUGUCCAAUAUGUCCACCUGGAGGACUUAGUAGCUGCCCACCUUGUGACUUAACAAACAACAUAACAGCUGCCAGUGGAUCGUAGAUGCAUCCAGAAAGAGAGGCCCAGAGAAGGCCAGAGGCUCAUUCAGAAUCGUGCAGCCACCUCCUGAAUCCGGACACAGUGCACCGUUCCCAGCCCCUGCCUGUGCCCCAGUGAUCUGCUCAGCUGUGGGCUUGCAAGACGUCAGAACCUGAACACAGACCUCAGAUCCCAGGAUCAGUCUGACAAAUAUCACAGGACUCGAUAUACUCAGGAACAAAACACGGCUGUUCAGAAGACUCAUA